rnacentral:rRNA from 1 species
UACGGGGGGGGCAAGCGUUGUUCGGAAUUACUGGGCGUAAAGGGCGUGUAGGUGGUUGCGUAAGUCUGGCGUGAAAUAUCUCGGCUUAACCGAGGCAGGUCGUCGGAUACUGCGUAACUGGAGGACGGUAGAGGCGUGUGGAAUUCCGGGUGUAGUGGUGAAAUGCGUAGAGAUCCGGAGGAACACCAGUGGCGAAGGCGACACGCUGGGCCGUACCUGACACUGAUGCGCGACAGCAUGGGGAGCAAACAGG